GAAACAAAAUCAAAAUUUUAUUAGGCGGCUUCGUAACUCCGUAAAUUGGCAUCACUGCCUUCCAUUCCAGUUCUCACGAAAUUCGUCUGCAUUUGCUAUUUACGUCAGUCUCAGUCUCACAGCAGCUCAUAGUUUGACUGUUGGAGCUGUGCGUUGAUAAUCAACCCAGAGCUCCAGUCCAGCAUUCAGCAUAGUGUCCACAAACACAUUUGUCUAAGUGAAAUUUUGAUUAAUCAAUUGACGUAAUAGUACGUUCAAGUACAGGUUUCUUUUGUUCAUUGACUGCUCAAUCAUUACAGUAUCCCGCCCUCUGACACGUGGUUGAAACAAAGAAGUGGAACUCGUUAACAAGUGGAACUGGAUUUUUGGUCUUCCAUGCAUAAUGAGAGGUACCUCAAGGGAGAAAAGUUGUCUCUGUUCAUCUUUUGUCCAGCCAGUGUUUCAUUUGUUACGUGUUAGUGGUGUUACCUAUUGAAUUGAAUUUUGGCAUUCAACGUCAGCAACUCUUUACCCUUACUUGAACUACUGAGCCAUUCUACCUGAAAUUGCAAUUCUUCAUUCAACUCAGUUCCACAUCUAGCAAAUAGCAUCUGUUCGAGAUAUUAGCUCACAGCCAAACGCGAUGAGGAUAAUGUCGCUGGGCACGACUGAAGGAGUGAAGGCCACAGACCAAUUGUGGCCCAAUAUGGUGGUGACUCCUCCACCGAGAGGAGGUACAGCAAAAAUCGAAGACAAACAAAUCUUGGUAGACUGGAUAUAGACGGCCUUUAAAGUCCAGCAAAUGAAAAGAUUCUUCUCCAAUCAGGAAAGUAUCCUGCCUCACUAAACAGGAUUCCGGAUGAAACCAAAACGUAUUUCACCAAAUAACGGCUGAUUCUUCUUUAUUCGGGUGGUUUUUUAAUAGUUGUGUCACACCGUAUUUCACACCAGUGUCAUGGAUUUGGGAACCAGCGACGAGCUAUUUCCGUAGAGAGACAACUGACACUCCGACUUUUGUGGUUCCUAGCGUACACUCAAAGUUGACCCAACUUAAACAAACUGAAAAGUUUCUGGACGAAGAAAUUGCUGGCAUGGAUAGUGAAAUGAUAGAACUUCAGCAGAAGGCAUGCACACUUUUUUGAAGGAGGAUUCCCACGAAAGAUGCAUUGCGUCAACGCAAACAAAUAGAAUUGAUGUGUAACCAGCGCAAACAGUUCUUAUCUAAAAUCUACGAUGAAAUUCCGGUUAUACAAGAGGCCUACAAAAUUGGCCUUUCUGAAUCAAAUGAUUUGUCUAGCGAUCCUUCGAAGAAAGAAGAAAAUAUUCUCUACGCCGAACUGAAGACGGAGUUUAAGUAACAGGAAGAAACCUGGAAUAUCUUCCCACUGAUUACUGUUCAAGAAGACGAAUCCCGAAUUGGAAGAGGAGUUAAAAGCGAUCGUAGAAAAAAGGGCGCGAAAGUGAUCCCUAUUACUCUUUAAGUUGAAACUCUUCUGUAAAAAGUAAAAAAAAAAGCAUUGGCAAAGAAAAAUCUGUGGACG
rnacentral:lncRNA from 1 species